AGUCGGGCGGUAGAGAGGUGCUUGCACCUCUUGAGAGCGGCGGACGGGUGAGUAAUACCUAGGAAUCUGCCUGGUAGUGGGGGAUAACGUUCGGAAACGGACGCUAAUACCGCAUACGUCCUACGGGAGAAAGCAGGGGACCUUCGGGCCUUGCGCUAUCAGAUGAGCCUAGGUCGGAUUAGCUAGUUGGUGAGGUAAUGGCUCACCAAGGCUACGAUCCGUAACUGGUCUGAGAGGAUGAUCAGUCACACUGGAACUGAGACACGGUCCAGACUCCUACGGGAGGCAGCAGUGGGGAAUAUUGGACAAUGGGCGAAAGCCUGAUCCAGCCAUGCCGCGUGUGUGAAGAAGGUCUUCGGAUUGUAAAGCACUUUAAGUUGGGAGGAAGGGCAUUAACCUAAUACGUUAGUGCUUUGACGUUACCGACAGAAUAAGCACCGGCUAACUCUGUGCCAGCAGCCGCGGUAAGACAGAGGGGGCAAGCGUUGUCCGGAUUUACUGGGCGUAAAGGGCGUGUAGGCGGUUUGGGGCGUCCCAUGUGAAAGGCCACGGCUCAACCGUGGAGGAGCGUGGGAUACGCUCAGGCUAGAGGGUGGGAGGGGGUGGUGGAAUUCCCGGAGUAGCGGUGAAAUGCGCAGAUACCGGGAGGAACGCCGAUGG
rnacentral:rRNA from 1 species